AUGGGAGUUGAGUUCUGGAGUUCCCAUCUAAAUGUCCGUGGGCCACGCGUGGUACCGAAACCCAGGAUAGAGGAGAAGAAGCCAGAUGCUGCAGCGUCAGCACCACCCGACACGCCGCUGGACUCAGCUCCUCAUCCAGAUUCAGAAAGCCAGCCUACGGAAGUGCCAGAAUCAAACUCUAUCAGCAAAGAAACCGGUCCAAGGCCCACUUUAUUCCACGAGUUUUGCCCGAUCAGGACACGCAGCCCCAGAGAGCUGGACUGCGGCUCGGGUCAGGGUGCGCUCUGUUUCAUCAACCCGCUUUUUCUGCAGACUCAGACGAGCUUGUCCAGGCGGCGCAUGUUCAAACACAGCCUCAAGGUUCGGGUUUCCACGGAGACUUCAACGCUGCUCUCACCUCCGCUCGCGCCGCCACCUCCUCCGCCUCUAAUUGCAAAAACCAAAAGGAAAUGUAAAGGGCCAAAACAGGGACCCUGUGGGGUUAAAGCAGAUCAAACAGCUGAUGACUCACAGCCUCCCACACAGACACAGGAGACACAAUCAGGAGCUCCUCCUGCCUCGCUGGAGACUCAGCUGGAAAGUCAGGAGGAGAUGCAGAGGAGUCAAAUCAAGGAUGACACCUCAUCUCAGCUCCCAGUGAUAACAGAGCCUGUUUUAGAUGAAUACAUGACGCCUCAGCCUAUCAACUCCCACUCUCUCUCCCCCUACCAGUCACCACUGGUUUCUCCCAGGGCAGCUCCUCUUUUCCCCAAAGUUUAUCCAUCCCACUCUCCUCACGAGUCUCCCUCUGCCUCCCCCUCUCUCUCACCCUAUCAGUCCCCAUCUUUAUCCCCUAGAAUUCCUGCGUACCUCUCACCAAACUACUCUCCCAGCAUCUCCCCUUCUCCCUCUCCAUCGUCCUCCCCCCUGACAGAGCAGGUCUGCUGUGCACAGACCACUCCCCCAGGAGCCGAGGAGGAAACGCACACGGAUGGAGAUGAAGAUCACAUCGGGGACCUGAGCGAGGAGGAAAGCGUGGAUUUCCUGAGGAGCGCUUCGUCUCUGGAGGAAAUUCAGACCUGCAGUUCGAACAGCGACGUUGAAUCAGAAGCUCCGCCUCUUUUACCGGAUAAACAAGCCUCGGACGAACAGACUGAAUUUCAUCACGUUUAA
rnacentral:lncRNA from 1 species